rnacentral:rRNA from 1 species
GACGAACGCUGGCGGCGUGCUUAACACAUGCAAGUCGAACGGCGUGGCGAACGGGUGAGUAACACGUGGGUGACCUGCCCUGCACUUCGGGAUAAGCCUGGGAAACUGGGUCUAAUUCCGGAUAGUGGGGGAUGGGCCGGCGGCCUAUGAGCUUGUUGGUGGGGUAAUGGCCUACCACGGCGGCGACGGGUACCCGGCCUGAGAGGGUGGACGGCCAACUUGGGACUGAGGCACGGCCCAGACUCGUACGGGGGGCAGCAGUGGGGAAUAUUGCACAAUGGGCGGAAGCCUGAUGCAGCGACGCCGCGUGGGGGAUGCCGGCCUUGGGGUUGUAAACUCCUUUCACCAUCGACGCGGUAGAUGGAGAAGAAGCACCGGCUAACUACGUGCCAGCAGCCGCGGUAAUAC